rnacentral:misc_RNA from 1 species
GAUGAAGAACGUAGCGAAAUGCGAUAAGUAGUGUGAAUUGCAGAAUUCAGUGAAUCAUCGAAUCUUUGAACGCACAUUGCGCCCCAUGGUAUUCCGUGGGGCAUGCCUGUUCGAGCGUCAUUUACCCCCUCAAGCUCCGCUUGGUGUUGGGCGUCUGUCCCGCUUCGCGCGCGGACUCGCCCCAAAGGUAUUGGCAGCGGUCGUGCCAGCUUCUCGCGCAGCACAUUGCGCUUCUCGAGGCACCGGUGGGCCCGCGUCCAUCAAGCUCACCCCCCCAGUUUGACCUCGGCUCAGGUAGGGAUACCCGCUGAACUUAAGCAUAUCAAUAAGCGGAGGA